UGGCGGACGGGUGAGUAACGCGUGGGUAACCUGCCUUACACAGGGGGAUAACACCUGGAAACAGGUGCUAAUACCGCAUAAGCGCACAGGGCCGCAUGGCCCGGUGUGAAAAACUCCGGUGGUGUAAGAUGGACCCGCGUCUGAUUAGCUUGUUGGCGGGGUAGGGGCCCACCAAGGCGACGAUCAGUAGCCGGCCUGAGAGGGUGGACGGCCCACAUUGGGACUGAGACACGGCCCAAACUCCUACGGAAGGCAGCAG
rnacentral:rRNA from 1 species